ACCCUACGGGAGGCAGCAGUGGGGAAUAUUGCACAAUGGGGGAAACCCUGAUGCAGCGACGCCGCGUGAGUGAAGAAGUAUCUCGGUACGUAAAGCUCUAUCAGCAGGGAAGAAAAAAAGUCUUUGGCUUUGGACGGUACCUGACUAAGAAGCCCCGGCUAACUACGUGCCAGCAGCCGCGGUAAUACGUAGGGGGCAAGCGUUAUCCGGAUUUACUGGGUGUAAAGGGAGCGUAGACGGCAGCACAAGUCUGGAGUGAAAUCCCGGGGCUUAACCCCGGAACUGCUGUGGAGACUGUGCGGCUG
rnacentral:rRNA from 1 species